AACGAACGCUGGCGGCGUGCCUAACACAUGCAAGUCGAACGGUGAAAGUGGGAGCUUGCUCCUACUGGAUCAGUGGCGAACGGGUGAGUAACACGUGAGUAACCUGCCCCAGACUCUGGGAUAAGCGUUGGAACCGACGUCUAAUACCGGAUACGAGACGAGAAGGCAUCUUCAUCGUCUGGAAAGAAUUUCGGUCUGGGAUGGACUCGCGGCCUAUCAGCUAGUUGGUGAGGUAAUGGCUCACCAAGGCGACGACGGGUAGCCGGCCUGAGAGGGUGACCGGCCACACUGGGACUGAGACACGGCCCAGACUCCCACGGGAGGCAGCAGUGGGGAAUAUUGCACAAUGGGCGAAAGCCUGAUGCAGCAACGCCGCGUGAGGGACGACGGCCUUCGGGUUGUAAACCUCUUUUAGCAGGGAAGAAGCGAAAGUGACGGUACCUGCAGAAAAAGCACCGGCUAACUACGUGCCAGCCGCCGCAGUAA
rnacentral:rRNA from 1 species